GGUUCGUAGUUGAACUGUGGGCCGCGCUGCCGCCGCGCUCCGCCCCACCCGCAGAGGGUGCGUGGCACGCGGCGCGCGCUGCCCGCGAACACUCAGACACAAGCAGCGCGGGAACGCUUCCCCACACCACGCGUGUCAUGCACGCACGGGGCGCCCGCGAGUCUUUACUGUGACUAAAAAAGCGCGACCAAAGCAGUCCAUCGACCUGAAUUGCAAAGCAUGGGAUAACAAAGCAUCAGCCUCCGGGCCACCGAUUCGGCUUUUGUUGGUUUUAACAGUCCGUUGGAGAUUAUGGGCCGGCGCGAGCACGCACCGCGGCAUUCCACUCGGAACACGCCGCACGCCGCGCGGCGCCUCGCGCGUCGCGGCUCGCCGGCCCGGGAAUGAAGGAGGGCGGCUCGGGGGAGAACGUACUGGCGCGUCAGAGGUGAAAUUCUUAGACCGCGCCAAGACGAACCACAGC
rnacentral:rRNA from 1 species